GUUCUUUGAUAUGCUGAAUUCAAAAAUGUACUUAGAUUUUUUAUUAUGGGCCCAGUUUUCAAGUUGGUCCAAAUCAGGAUCUAAAAUUAUUAUAUUAAGUAUUGUGCAAUAGCAAGUCUUUUCAAUUGCACAGUAUUGCGCAAUGGCAAGAAAUAUCUAAUUGCACAAUAUUGUGAAAUAUCAAAAAAAAUUUAAUUAGAGUUAUCUUUCUUUGUCCAGAAUAGUAAGCAAGA
rnacentral:lncRNA from 1 species